rnacentral:rRNA from 1 species
GUCGAGAAUAUUCGACAAUGGGCGAAAGCCUGAUCGAGCGACGCCGCGUGGUGGAUGAAGUCCUUCGGGACGUAAACAUCUUUUAUGAGGGAGGAAGUAAUUGACGUUACCUCAUGAAUAAGGGGCUCCUAACUCUGUGCCAGCAGGAGCGGUAAUACAGAGGCCCCGAGCAUUACCCGGAAUCAUUGGGCGUAAAGGGUGCGUAGGUGGUCGUGUUAGUCGUUUGUGAAAUACCGGGGCUUAACUCCGGCAACGCGGGCGAAACGGCACGACUCGAGGAUGUGAGAGGUGAAUGGAACUCAUGGUGUAGGGGUGAAAUCCGUUGAUAUCAUGGGGAACACCGAAAGCGAAAGCAAUUCACUGGCACAUUUCUGACACUCAAGCACGAAAGCGUGGGUAGCGAACGGGAUUAGAUACCCCGGUAGUCC